rnacentral:rRNA from 1 species
UACGUAGGGAGCAAGCGUUGUCCGGAAUCAUUGGGCGUAAAGCGCGCGUAGGCGGCCCGAUAAGUCCGCUGUGAAAGUCAACGGCUCAACUGUUGGAUGCCGGUGGAUACUGUCGGGCUAGAGUACGGAAGAGGCAAGUGGAAUUCCUGGUGUAGCGGUGGAAUGCGCAGAUAUCAGGAGGAACACCUAUAGCGAAGGCAGCUUGCUGGGACGUUACUGACGCUAAGGCGCGAAAGCGUGGGGAGCGAACAGA